AAUCCAUAGGUUAAUGAGGCGAACCGGGGGAACUGAAACAUCUAAGUACCCCGAGGAAAAGAAAUCAACCGAGAUUCCCCCAGUAGCGGCGAGCGAACGGGGAGGAGCCCAGAGCCUGAAUCAGCAUGUGUGUUAGUGGAAGCGUCUGGAAAGGCGCGCGAUACAGGGUGACAGCCCCGUACACAAAAGCGCAUGUGCUGUGAGCUCGAUGAGUAGGGCGGGACACGUGGUAUCCUGUCUGAAUAUGGGGGGACCAUCCUCCAAGGCUAAAUACUCCUGACUGACCGAUAGUGAACCAGUACCGUGAGGGAAAGGCGAAAAGAACCCCGGCGAGGGGAGUGAAAAAGAACCUGAAACCGUGUACGUACAAGCAGUGGGAGCACCCUUUGGGUGUGACUGCGUACCUUUUGUAUAAUGGGUCAGCGACUUAUAUUCUGUAGCAAGGUUAACCGAAUAGGGGAGCCGGAGGGAAACCGAGUCUUAACCGGGCGUUAAGUUGCAGGGUAUAGACCCGAAACCCGGUGAUCUAGCCAUGGGCAGGUUGAAGGUUGGGUAACACUAACUGGAGGACCGAACCGACUAAUGUUGAAAAAUUAGCGGAUGACCUGUGGCUGGGGGUGAAAGGCCAAUCAAACCGGGAGAUAGCUGGUUCUCCCCGAAAGCUAUUUAGGUAGCGCCUCGUGAAUUCAUCUCCGGGGGUAGAGCACUGUUUCGGCUAGGGGGCCAUCCCGGCUUACCAACCCGAUGCAAACUGCGAAUACCGGAGAAUGUUAUCACGGGAGACACACGGCGGGUGCUAACGUCCGUCGUGAAGAGGGAAACAACCCAGACCGCCAGCUAAGGUCCCAAAGUCAUGGUUAAGUGGGAAACGAUGUGGGAAGGCCCAGACAGCCAGGAUGUUGGCUUAGAAGCAGCCAUCAUUUAAAGAAAGCGUAAUAGCUCACUGGUCGAGUCGGCCUGCGCGGAAGAUGUAACGGGGCUAAACCAUGCACCGAAGCUGCGGCAGCGACACUGUGUGUUGUUGGGUAGGGGAGCGUUCUGUA
rnacentral:rRNA from 3 species